UAACUCCAAAAAUUACUUCCGAUUCGAAAAUUUGGAUGAUAUCUAUCGUAGAAGAAUCAAUCAUCACAUCUCUUUCGGUACGUUUUUCUAAUUUUUAUGUAAUUUUUUAUGUUGGACUACAUGAAUAUGGUUAAUGCUAUCUUUGUGUUUUGUAAUCUAGAAACUUUUAAGGAAUUGUGAAACUUUGUGUACUGGUCCCUCCAAUAGAAAAGUACAAAAUUGAACUUUUUAGGAAAAUAGUUACAUGUGAAUGUUAAAAAGCUUUGGAGACAUUCAUUGUAAAGAUAAUUCCUGUAUUUUUCCAAAAAAAUAGAUGUUUGCGGAUGUGUAGUAGCUGUAGAGGACAGAGGAAAUAAUGGAAAUGGUGAUAAUGAAGUAAUUUUGACACUAUUAAAUGGCAGGUAAUACACAUUUAUUCAAUCUUUACUGAUUCUAAGAGUUAUAAGUUUGGCUUUACUAUAGUAUGUAACAAGUAUCUUCAUCUGUAGGAAUGAAACUCUUAUGGGAGCCUUUUCAUGUCUUUAUGGGAGUCAUCUGGAUGCCAUCUCACAUAUCAAACUGAACCGGUGUUUUCUGUACUGUGUUUUUUGAAGGUUGGAGAGUAUGAAGGUAUAUACUAUUAAUAACACUUGCUAUAUUUAACAAAUGCUAAAGACUAGGUUAUAUACACAUUUACCAAAGUUUUAUAACACUUUAAACAUCCCUAGGUGAACCGUGUAUUGUAAACACAUUGGCCUCCUCCAAAAUCUUUAUAAAACCGGAGUUUGAAGGACUUGAGCAUCAUAAGGCUAUGUAAAUUUUUAAAGUUCAUUAAUAUCAAGAAUUGUAUCAUGCUAGGGUUUAACUUAUGAAUGUGUUUUUAUAUGUGUAGCUCCGAAUUUGCUGGACGAUAUUACAUAAAUCAUAUCAUGGAGCAUCAAGGUGAAUCUUCAGGGGCUUAAGCUGAAGGCACAUUAGUUUGAAAACGUCUUUUGUAAAUGCAAACUUUAAAAUUAUUUUGAAUGUUUGUAUAAACAAGUACUAGAAAUGUUUUUAUGGGUUGCUUUCCUAAUUUAAAUUAUCCAUAAAAAUGUAUUGGGCUCAUUAAAUAUUUUAAAAUUUGCAAAUGGGCUUCAAAAUCUUAAUUAAAAGUUUACAUGCAUAUAUUAUAGACAACUAUAAUAAAGAUCUUAUUAACUAUUAUUAAUACUAGGGAUGAGAACCCGCGCGUUGCGCGGGGUUGUAUGCUAAUGAUGUUUGGUUUAUAGUUAUGUUGAUUCAGUGAAAUAUCUUUAAUAUAAAACUUAUAUAUAUAUACUGUUUUGUGAAAUAAUUUUUAAAAACCUGUUUUUUUUUUUUGUUUGGACCUAGUGUUUUUUAUCCUUAGCACAUAUGCUUAGCCGGGACCAAUGCUAAUUUAUCUUGUAAGGGGUUUUUUUAAAAAAAAUGUUUUUGAUUAUAUGUAUUUGGUUGGAGGUUUGGCUUAGAGUGUGUGCUCGUGUCUAAGUACAUUCUAUUAUUUUAUCUGAAAUUAUUAGUAGCUCAAGGUCCAACUUUUAAGAUUUUAAAAUUAUAGAACGAAAAGCAUUUAUUUAUUUACUUUAGUAUAUGUUUUUUUUUUAGCCAGCCCAGUUGAGGUGUAAAAUUUAAUCCAUUUCGUUUAUAAAAUUUUGUCCACUUUUGUUAUUUAAGUGACUAUUGGGCUUGUUAUGAGAGUUAGGCCUAUUAGCAAAAGAAAAAGGGUCAAAUAAAUAAAGUGUGAUUUUUUGAGCAACGGAUAGAAGAUUUUCCUCUAACAAUCGUGAGCUGGAAGCACACCGACGACAAAACCUUAUAGGAUUCGUUAUUAGUUUUGCCGAGACAGUUGACAAAAUCCAAAUCGAUUUGUGAUAUCAGCCUAUUAAAUCAAAAAGCUGGACAAAACCUUAUCGUCAUCUUCCCGAUAUCUCUGCGGAGAUUAACGAUUCUACUUCUAUGGAUUUUUCUUCGUCAAGGUCCCAUGGCUUGCGAAACCCUAAUCAGCUUCUCCGUCUCCAAAAAAAAUUCAGAACCAAGAAACAUCUCUCUGAGGGAUUUGGAUCUGUUUUAUGAUUGGCGCUACCUCAUACAUUGUUGAUGUCAGGUUCUGCGGGAUGAUGUUUGCAAAGAGCCUUCCUUAAGAAGCCUUCCUUAAGAAGUAUUCUAUCGGAUCCAAUUUCGUGAGUACCAUUUUUCCCUUAGUGUAUAACUUAUCUAUGACGAACAAAUCUCCUCUCUUAAUAUUGUUACUUUGAAUAAAUUGCUAAUCUAUGUUAAUCUGAUCACGUAAAAAGGACCCUAGCUAGGUUUUCUUGAGUGCUGGCAACUGACAAGACCUUUUCCAAACUUAUCGUCUAAGUAUUUUUCUAUUGUUAUUUAGCAAGUAGUACUCUAAGACUAAUCUUUUCGACACAUUGAGUUCA